rnacentral:rRNA from 1 species
ACAGAGGUCCCAAGCGUUGUUCGGAUUCACUGGGCGUAAAGGGUGCGUAGGUGGUCGGGUAAGUCUGAUGUGAAAUCUCCGAGCCUAACUCGGAAACUGCAUCGGAUACUAUUCGGCUUGAGGGUUGGAGGGGGGACCGGAAUACUUGGUGUAGCAGUGAAAUGCGUAGAUAUCAAGUGGAACACCAGAGGCGAAGGCGAGUCCCUGGACAACUCCUGACACUGAGGCACGAAAGCUAGGGGAGCAAACAGGA